UGAGCGCACUAACGAAGAGGGCUACUAACGAAGCCACUAACCCACGACCCCUUAUCCCGUACCCCUUCGCCCUGAGCCCCUGACCGUAACCCCCUCCCCGAGCACCCACGCACGCAUCCUCCCCCCUUGCCCCUCCCCUCUAGCCACCGGCCAGCCCGAGCACGCUGCUCCUCCUCUCCACUGCCUCUCCCAUGUAGGAUGUAGCCACUGUCCUGUACUACGAGCAAGUCGCCGCUCCUCCCUCCGCCACGGCUUCGAGCUCCCAACCUGAACCCUGUGUAGUCACGAAAGUAUUAAAUGGAGCCUCCUUUGCCGCCACUCAACCCCGUUGAAGUACGGGCAGGAACCGCCUCCGCGGUGGCUGAGAAAUCAAGAAGAUGAGCGGGCAUGCCCGCACGGGGCGAGUGAAUCUGCGCUCUCUGCCCUUUUCCAAUCUGUAGUUUUGCACGCCGAUGUACCGUACAGAUCGGGCGACCGCGAAUCUUCGACUCUGCUGCAGCGGCUACCGGAUGCUCUCAUGUAGGGCCUGCUUACAAGGAAUAGCAGAGCUUUGCAAGAAUUUUUUCUAUCGAUGUAUGGAAUCAAUUUUUCCCCAAUGUCGACGCUGGAGACAUUCAUUUGAGUUCGCCCCAAGGCCUCCGACACCCCAGGACCAGCGCUGGCUUCACGUCUCCAGCGAGACUGGGAGGAAGAGUCGCCCGCCCUCUGCUCAUCCUUCCUGGCUGCCCCCAUCACCGGUGACGGUGACUGCGGUGAUCACAGCUUGGUUCAGAAUACAUGGGAUUUGAUUUGUCAAUAUCCACAAGCACACGACCUGCACUUUUUAUGUGAGGCAGCUCUUUAUGAUGCCCUUUUGCAUCUAUAAGCCUUUACUUGAGACACCAAUUGUUGGCACUGUAAUUUAGCAUUCUCGUGCCUGACAUUCAUCACAUGACCAUUCUACUAUGUUGCAUCAAGAACAAUUGUGUCCGCACAAUACCUGCAGAAUCAAUCGAUGACAAGACAAAGUUGAAAGGAUUUAGCGAAUUUGAGAAUACAUAUUAUAAAAGACCCAAGAUAAAUGGCAGAUGUUGGUGCCAUACUUUUGAAGUGUUGAUGGAAACUAACAAGCAUUUGUGUCGUAAAGCAAUAGAAAUGUACUGUCAUAUACAUGUUUCUAGCCUUUUCCCUAUUUUGGUUUGCCAUUUAUUUACCCGGGCACUUGCUAAUUUUACAAGUUAUCUAUUGUAUAUUGUCAUGAUGCUUUUGGUGCCUUGAGAUAUAUUCUGAGGUGAUACCAUCUCUUAUCUAUCUUUUUAGGUUGUGAAAGGAAUGAAAUUAUGAUGCAAUGUUGAUUUGCAUAUUAUGCAGCUUCACCAACCUACUCCCUCAAUACCAAAAUAUAAGACUUUUUUGGUUUUGCAUAGGGCAUAGAAAACGUCUUAUAUUUUGUUAUGGAGGGAGUAUUUGAUUAUGUUUAACUCCUAAUUCUCUCAUUCUUCUGUAACCGGUUGCUCAAUGAGGUUGCUUUCUGCUGUUAAUUAUAGGUGUAAAUCACAGUCACAACAAGGUAUGGUGAUCCUGCCGGCGGAAAAGAAGUCAUGGAUUGUUGACCUUACAUGGCAACCUUGUAUCAGGUACACAGUUUGAUUAUGCCAUGAUGCUACCUAUGUUGUGCAAAUUCGUUUACUGCAACCUAAUUAGGUCUAUGUUAUUAUGGAGUUAGUUUUGGCUAUACAAACUUGCCUCUCUCCUUGGGAGCCGGAAUCUCUGACUUGCACGAGGGAAGUCAGGGAGCUACAGCGUUCUCCUUGUAUAGAAAAGAUAAGGCAAGUGAGAGACCUUGUGAAAUUGAAAUUGAUCUUCUUAAAAAAGUGAAAUUAGUUUUUUUAAUGAGUCUUUUGAAAUUGAAAUUGGUAUGUGCGAAUUGAAAUUGAUUAUUUAAAAAUUGAAAUCGGUCUUUUGAAAAUUGAAAUGAGUACCCUUCAUGGAGCUAGAGAGAAGUGAAGUCAGAUUACUGUAGCUCCCUUGAUUUCACUUCAUAAGUCAAAGGAUCCAGCGGACUUUUUAUGUUGUAUGCAAUUGUGGUAGUAUGGCUCUAAUGAGUUUU